GAUGCAUUCUGGAGAAAGUAGUUUUCAAGGGAUCUGAGAACGCGCGGCGGUAGCAGAGGUGAUGCACCGACCCCUAACGCGGUGGCGGGGGCUUAACGAUUUUUAGAUUUAGACAAGGUGCAGAGGUGGAAAUGCAUGAAACACCCAGAGAGAAGACACAAGAAAGAGAUAAAACAUAAUAACUUCGAAGAAGACUAUUUCUGGGAAAGCACUUGUGGUCAGAAAACCCCAGACUGGGCUCCCCUAUUCCCCAGCUGUAGACCUGUUGGGAAACCCAAAACAGAAGGUAGGAAAACCAGUUACUUUCACAUCCUUUCCCACAUCUGCUCCUCAUCACAAUCCAGUGAGUCAGUCAGGUUUUAGCAGACCCAUUUUAUAGAUUAGGAAAACUGAGGAUCAGAGAGUCUUAGCAACUUGUCUGAAGUCAGACAUGUGAAAUGAGACACUAUUGGAGCUGAGAUGGAAACUGAGACCUUCCCGGUGACCCAGCCUGGCUCCUUCCCUCCUAGAGGUGACCUCUCCAAGCUCCGAGGGUCGGAUAUGGCAGGGGAGGGCCCAGGGUGGGAGCGUAAGGGUGGGGUUGACUUCCAGGCUCUGGGUGCUCACUGAAGCUCAGCCCAGCUGCCUUCCUGCCCUUGCUUUUACACGGGGCUCUCCAGGCAGGAAACAGAAGUCAACGCUGGGCACCCAAAGCAUGGGUUUGAUUUACAUGUUCAUGCGCAACUGGUUUGGGGGUUUAUUUGGGGGACCAAGAACUAACUCAGCCAAAGAGCCUCUUCCCUGAGCCCAUCUCUGUCCUCUUAAACAAAUCUUAAACAAAGCAGCCUUUUUAAUUAAAAAAAAAAUAAAGUAAUAGAGGGAUAUUGUUAUCAAGUCAAACAGUAAAGUAUUUGGAGGGCAAUUUGACAUUUCUGUCAAAUUUUAAAACAUACAUAUAUGUUUUGAUAAUGUGAUCCAGCAUUUACAAUGGAAAAUAAUUUUUUUUUCUGUGAAUAUUCUCCCCCAAGUGUUCAGAAAUACAUAUGGAAAAAUGCACUGCUUGUAAGAGAAACAAAGACACAGAACUGUAAACAACCCAAGGACAAUGACGUUUGCUGGAUUUGCUGACCUAGAAAGAGAUGUCCGUAGUAUAUUGUUAAAUAAGCAAAUUAUUUGAUUCAAAUAUAAAAAGAGCAUUUCAUUUUCAUUUCUUUGAGGACUAGUGAGGUUGACUAUCUUUUUCUUUCUUUUUUUUUUUUUUAAGUUGGCCAAUUGUGUUUCCUCUCGUGUGAAUUGCUAAAAUAUUACUGUCCCUCGGUCUUUUGUCACACAAAAUAGUUGUAAACU